AAGCAAUCAAAUAUAUCAGGCCUGUCCAACCUGCGGCCCCUCAGAUGUUGCUGCACUACAACUCCCAUGAUUAUUUCAAUUAAACAGAUAGCCAGGGAAUCAUGUGAGUUUUACUGCAGCAACAUCUGGGGGGCCGCAGGUUGGACAGCCCUGAAAUAUAUACA